GAAAACGUGGACGUGGGGCUAGUGUACGGGGGAGAUCGCCGGUCCCACCCAAGAGGCCGGCAUGUCUGGUGAUAUAACCUCUUUGGUGUAUAUAUAACCUCUUUACGCGGCGUGAAAAAAGUAGACGAGCGCGGGCGUCUGUUCCUUUUAAUUUUAAUAUUUUGGAAUCUUCUUUUUCUCUCCGUCUCCCUCCUUCUCUAAACUUGAGAAUCUUAAUUGGGAUUGUUUUGUUUUGAACUCAGGAAGCGAAAUCUAACGUGUUGCGUCACGUAAACACUUGACAUUUCCAUUAAUUGAUAUAAAUUGAUUGAAAUGAUGAGGGCAUUGAACUUCAAAAGAAUUGUAAUUGUUACAUGUAGAUCUGUGUACAACUGAAAACUAUUAUAAUUAUAAAUAGAAAGGCAGAAAGUUAUAAUGUGAAGAAGGUGACAGAUGCUUAUGGCCUUUCUGAAGCCCCUCACUGGGAUCAAUCUACCAAAAAGUUAUAUUU